rnacentral:misc_RNA from 1 species
ACGUGAUCUGAAUCGCGUAAAAAACUCUCCGAAGAUAUAAUUUAUAUUUUUCAAAUAUACUCAAACUGCAAACAAGCUCUGAAAUAAUAACCGCAGUAAUAAUUGUCUAACGGUCGAUUCUCCGUCUAUUUCUAAAUCAUUUUAUGUGUACAUAACAUCACUCGAAUUUUUGUUUCAAUAUUUCUGGAGCUCAAAGUUCUCUUACCUUGUUUAUUUUCCCUAACGAAAAUACCCCGUUCAAUAUCAAAAUUCAACACGUCCCUCUUCCGCGUAUAUUCGUCUGGAUUAUACGCGCGGCUAAUAUUCGAAAGCAGGAGGGAUUCAGAAGAUUUUCGUUCCAAAUUCCGUAUCAAACCGAAUUGCUCGGAGCACACGAUGGAUGAAUUCAGCGAAACAAACGUUUGGUCGUUAGAGCCGACCCCAUGGGGAGUCUACAUAUACAGCGUGGUUAUCCCGGCUAUUUCCACACUCGGUGUCGCCGGAAACGCCUUGAUCCUCGCUGUCCUUAGCAGAAAAAGUCUCAAAGCUUCGACGUAUACUUACCUAGCCGGUAAUUACGAAUAAAAGUAUAUCCGUGAAAUAUGUUCACAGCUAUAGGUAAAAU